rnacentral:rRNA from 1 species
GAUGAACGCUGGCGGCGUGCCUAAUACAUGCAAGUCGAGCGAACAGAUGAGGAGCUUGCUCCUCUGACGUUAGCGGCGGACGGGUGAGUAACACGUGGAUAACCUACCUAUAAGACUGGGAUAACUUCGGGAAACCGGAGCUAAUACCGGAUAAUAUAUUGAACCGCAUGGUUCAAUAGUGAAAGACGGUUUUGCUGUCACUUAUAGAUGGAUCCGCGCCGCAUUAGCUAGUUGGUAAGGUAACGGCUUACCAAGGCAACGAUGCGUAGCCGACCUGAGAGGGUGAUCGGCCACACUGGAACUGAGACACGGUCCAGACUCCUACGGGAGGCAGCAGUAGGGAAUCUUCCGCAACGGGCGAAAGCCUGACGGAGCAACGCCGCGUGAGUGGUGAAGGUCUUCGGAUCGUAAAACUCUGUUAUUAGGGAAGAACAAAUGUGUAAGUAACUAUGCACGUCUUGACGGUACCUAAUCAGAAAGCCACGGCUAACUACGUG